AUGAACAAACUUCUGUGUAUAUUUACUCUCAUCACCGUCAUCCUGUCUUUAAUCUGUUCAGCAGUCUUUGCUGUCAGUAAAGAAGUUCUCCAAACUCCUCGCCAUCUGCUCAGGAAGCAUGGGGAAUCUGCAGAGAUUGAGUGUUCUCACAAGAUUCCAGACUACAAUCGCAUUCUGUGGUACAAACUAACCCGAGACAGAGAGUACCAGUUCAUGGGAUACAACUUUCUUACACAAUCUCAGCUGGAGCCUGAAUUUAACAUUCAGGUGACCUUGACAGGGAACGGAGACAGUAAAGGCACACUGACCAUUAAAUCCACAACACCUAAUGACAGCGCAGAAUAUUUCUGUGCAGCAUUUCCACAGUGUCUCACAUCUCCUCACCCCUUUACAAAAAACAUUGUCGUAUAA